CCUACGGGGGGCUGCAGUGGGGAAUAUUGGACAAUGGGCGAAAGCCUGAUCCAGCAAUGCCGCGUGAGUGAUGAAGGCCCUAGGGUUGUAAAGCUCUUUUACCCGGGAUGAUAAUGACAGUACCGGGAGAAUAAGCUCCGGCUAACUCCGUGCCAGCAGCCGCGGUAAUACGGAGGGAGCUAGCGUUGUUCGGAAUUACUGGGCGUAAAGCGCGCGUAGGCGGUUUUCCAAGUCAGGGGUGAAAGCCCGGGGCUCAACCCCUGAAUAGCCCUUGAAACUGGAAGACUAGAAUCUUGGAGAGGUCAGUGGAAUUCCGAGUGUAGAGGUGAAAUUCGUAGAUAUUCGGAAGAACACCAGUGGCGAAGGCGACUGACUGGACAAGUAUUGACGCUGAGGUGCGAAAGCGUGGGGAGCAAACAGGAUUAGAUACCCCUGUAGUC
rnacentral:rRNA from 1 species